rnacentral:rRNA from 1 species
CAUCCCCUACGGGACGCAGCAGUGAGAAAUAUUGGUCGAUGGGCGGGAGCCUGAACCAGCCAAGUCGCGUGAGGGAAGACGGUCCUAUGGAUUGUAAACCUCUUUAGGCGGGGAGCAAUGCCGGGCACGUGUGCCCGGAGGGAGAGUACCCGCAGAAUAAGCAUCGGCUAACUCCGUGCCAGCAGCCGCGGUAAUACGGAGGAUGCGAGCGUUAUCCGGAUUUAUUGGGUUUAAAGGGUGCGUAGGCGGAUUUUUAAGUCAGCGGUAAAAUGUCCGGGCUCGACCCGGGCCGGCCGUUGGAACUG